UACGUAGGGGGCGAGCGUUGUCCGAAGUUACUGGGCGUAAAGCGCGCGUAGGCGGCCGAUUAAGUCUGAGGUGAAAGGUUCAACGCUCAACGUGAACAGUGCCUUGGAUACUGGACGGCUUGAGUGUGGCAGAGGAGUAUGGAAUUCCUGGUGUAGCGGUGAAAUGCGUAGAUAUCAGGAGGAAUACCGAUGGCGAAGGCAGUACUCUGGGCUAACACUGACGCUGAGGUGCGAAAGCUAGGGGAGCGAACGGG
rnacentral:rRNA from 1 species